rnacentral:rRNA from 1 species
UACGUAGGGACCGAGCGUUGUCCGGAAUCAUUGGGCGUAAAGAGCGUGUAGGCGGCCACUUAAGUCCUGCGUGAAAUCUUGCGGCUCAACCGCAAGCGGUCGUGGGAAACUGGGUGGCUAGAGUGCGGGAAAGGAGAGUGGAAUUCCUGGUGUAGCGGUGGAAUGCGCAGAUAUCAGGAAGAACACCCGUGGCGAAGGCGGCUCUCUGGAACGCAACUGACGCUGAGACGCGAAAGCGUGGGGAGCGAACGGG